AUGGGCCGAGGAAGAGUUCAGUUGAGGAGGAUCGAGAACAAGAUCAACAGGCAAGUCACUUUCUCAAAGAGAAGGUCAGGUUUGUUGAAGAAAGCCCAUGAAAUCUCUGUGCUUUGUGAUGCUGAGGUCGCCUUGAUUGUGUUCUCUACCAAAGGGAAGCUCUUUGAGUACUCUACGGAUUCUUGGUAAGAGAAAUAUUUAUUAUUGUUGCUUUCAUUUUUUGUUCUUCUUUUGUGUUCAAUAUAGAAUAUCAUAUCAUACAGUCUUAGCUUUUUUUUUUUUUUUUUGUUUGGUCUUAUUGGUUCAAUGUAUAUAGAAGUCUCUCUUUUAGUCUUCUUUGAGGCCUCCUUUCUUGACAAAAAGACCAUCUUUUUUUGUUUUUUUUGGUCAAUACUAUAUGGUCUCUACUCUUGUUAUUUUUUGAUUGAUAUACCCUCAUUUCUUGCUGCAAAUUAUAUUCUUUUUGAUGUGCUGGAUGAAAUGUUCAAGAUUUAGAGAAACUAUAAUUCCAUUGUUGUUUUAGGAUUUAUGUUUUCAUUCUUGAUUUUUGGGUGAAAACAACCCUUUUUGUGUAACAGAUACUUUUAGACAUAUAUACAUGAUACAUACAAUACAUAAAGAUUCUUUUCCGUCCAAUUAUCCUAUGUUUUCUACGGAGAGAGAGAGAGAGAGAAAGAGAAAGAAUCUAUGGCAGAUUUGUUAGGUUUAAACGUAGCAUUCCACAUUAUUUCAGGUGUUUCUUGCUGUACAUGGGAUUGACUUAAAAAUUCUUAUUCCUCUCUUCUUUGUCCUCUCUAAAGGAGAUUAGCAGAUUAGGGGGUUUGUUUAGUUGCGUUUUAAGAAAAUAGAUUUAAUUUUUUUUUAGUUACACAAUAAAAUGUUACAAACAAACUUUUAUUCAAUGUUUUAUUUUUCUUAAAUUGAAGAUAGAAAACAGUAAAUCUUCUCUAAAAAAGAGAAGAACCACUCUGUAACUUUGAUUUGUCUGCAUGACUGGACAUAAAGUUGACACCUACACACGGAGAGUGUACACACAUAGGAGCAUGGUUUUGUAACUUGGCACCGAUUUCUAGGGGAAGUUCAAGAAAAUAAUGUAUUGUUAAAGUUCCUCCCUAGCAAAACAUGUAACUAAAAAACGAAAAAAAAAAGAUUUGCCUGCAAAAAAAGAAAAAGAAAAAAGAAAGAGAUUGUAAUUCAUUGUAACCGGAAGACAAAAGCAUGUAGGCACAUACAAUUAGUAAUACUAUCAUGAGCUUAUGAGCCAAAAUUACACAAUUGAAUGGUACAUCUAGCUUUCCCGUGACAUGAGUACAGUUUUGAAACCCAUCUAACAAAAAGAGGGUACAAUUUUGAAAAGUAAAGAUAUGUACAUCACUUUUAGUACAAUUUGUUGUGACAAUUUGCUACAUGGCGGAUUGGGAUCGGUAAGGGUGUGUUAAUGGGUCAUGUGGGGACACACUCUUAUUAAUUAUAAUUCGUCAUGUGAUGAGUUGUGGCAUAAAAUUGUGUUAAAAUAGUGUCCACAUUACUCUUUUGAAACCCAUUCAGCCAAAAAAUUGUACACUUUUGAAACCUGCUGAGAAAAAAAAAUAAUGCAUACAUCCAAAAAAAAUGGUGCAUUUUUUUUUUAAACUCAUUCAGCCAAAAAACAGUACAAUAAUAAAAACCCAUUGAAAAAAAAUCAAGGAAAAAGUUUACUUUAAACCAAUUUGAAGCUAUUAAAAAGACUAUUUAUGUUUAGUUUUUGUCACAUGACUUUUUAAAAGAAUCAUGUGAUUUGUUGAAAUAAUAUACACGGAUAAUUUUAUAAACUAGCACGUAGUAGAUUAAUAGGAGGAGAUAUUGUUUGAAGUUUACUUCUUCCUAAAAUAAACUAAGAAGCAAAGGUAUGGGUACACUAUAAUACGAGAUAUGGUGAUUUAUGAAAAACUAGGGUACAAUGGAGAUACGUGUAUUGAUUAAUUAUUAAGUAUGUUUUUUAUUUUAUUUUAUAUAUUAUUAAGCAUUUUGUUGUUCAUAUAUUGUUAAACAUAUAGGAUUAUCAAUUUAAGAGUAAUAAUGCUUAAUGAAGUGAAUUCAUGGUCAUUAAAUGAUGUUUAGAAUACAAACUAAUUGUUAGGUACAAGACAUCAUAGCUGUGAUAAUUGUGUGCAGUAGGUACUUGUACAAAAUCAGUUAGAGCAAAUCAGUUAGAGCAAGCAUCAAAGUAUUGUACAUUGUUAGUUGGAGUGUGUGCUGUAAUAAGGAGUACCAACAGUAAGACAAUAACUAGUAUAAAGACUGAAAUGAUUGUAACAGAAGGGAUAAUAAGAAUACAUUUACUUAGCUCUCAUUGAGACUAACUUGGAGGUUGAUUCCCUCGAAGAAUCAGUGGAGGACUAGUUCCCUCGAAGAACUACCAUAUUGAGUGAGUAAGAGAAUUAGAGAGUGAAUUACUAAGGACUCUACCAUUUGGUAUCAGAGCCGAUUCAGCCAUGGUGCAAGAAACCAGAUAUUCUCUGUUGAGUGACUCUGUUUCGCUGGUACAACAGAGAUUGGAUGAUCAUGCUUCUACCAUGGAGAUUAUUUCAAGAAGAUUGGAACAAUUGGAUAGCAAUUUCAAAGGAAUGCAAGCUAUGAUGGAAGAGAGGUUACCAGCAGUACAGCAACCAGUUAAUCAAGGGGAAAGAACAGCUCAUCACCAAGAAAAUCGAUGUCCUGAAGCAGAGGUGCUGCAACAGCCUAUGCGCCAUCCACGACCUGAGGUUGGUGCUCUAAUUCCUAGGCCUAUUAGGUUAGAAUUUCCCAGAUUUAGUGGUGGUGAUCCUUCUGCUUGGAUCUUUAGGGCUGUGCAAUUUUUUCAUUACUAUGAAAUACCUGAGGAAGAAAAGAUCUUGAAUGCUUCUUAUCAUCUUGAUGAUGAGGCAUUGAUAUGGUUCCAAGAUUGUGAAAGAUCUUUGGAUUCUUGGGAGACCUUUGUCAGGGCCAUUCAAGUUAGAUUUGGACCUUCAUCAUAUGAUGAUCCCAUGGAAGCUUUAACCAAGUUAAAACAGAUUACCACUGUGGCUGCUUACAAGGGCCAAUUCGAGAUGUUAAGUAACAGAAUUAGAAACUUAUCUGAAUCUCACAAGCUUAGUUGUUUUUUGAGUGGUUUAAGAGAUGAAGUUAGAUUGGCAGUGAGGAUGCAAAAUCCAAGAACUCUGAAUGCUGCCUUUGGGUUAGCUAAAAUUCAAGAAGAAUAUUUGUCCACUUGCAAGAAGGUCUAUAGGCCAUUUUCUGAGUUUAGUAGAAGCAAUUGGCAAGAACAACCAAUGGAAAAAUCUGACAGUAAGAAUGAGUCUAAGGCAAGAGUUCCUAUACAAAAGAUUACUUCAACUCAAAUGGAAGAAAGAAGAAAAAAGGGGCUGUGUUACUAUUGUGAUGAGAAAUGGCAGCCCAGACACAAGUGUAAAGGUCUGAAGCUGUUCAUGAUAGAAGAAGUGCAUGAGGUUAAUGAAGUUGAAGUUGUUGAAGUUGGGGAUAAUGCAGACUUUCAGUUAGAUCAAGCUGAUAUUACUUUAUAUGCUCUGUUGGGCAGCCCUUCACCAGGAACUAUGAGGGUUUUGGGUCAGAUUAAAGGGCAUUGGGUUGUGAUACUUUUGGAUACUGGAAGUUCUCAUAAUUUUCUUGAUUUUUUGUUGGUUAAAACCUUGCAAUUGGCUAUAGAUACUACAAGGAUUUUGGAGGUUAGGGUGGCUAAUGGGGAAUUGAUCAGAACUAAGGGUGAAUGUAAAGAUUUGUUGAUCAAAAUGCAAGGCACAGACUUCUUGGUAGAUCUGCAUGUUUUAACAUUGGGGGGUUGUGAUGUGGUUUUAGGCACCCAAUGGUUAAGUACAUUGGGUCUGAUUAGUUGGGAUUUUAAACAAUUGGAGAUGGAGUUCUUACAUCAAGGUUCGAAGGUGUGGCUGCAAGGCAUCAAGCCCACAGGUUCAGUCAUACAAGACGGAGAUCAGUUUCUUAAACAAUCAAAUCAGAAGGGGCUGCUUCUGCAGAUUGUGUCACAACAGCCACUGGAAUCAUCUGCACAGCACCUUCUUCCACCAGAGGUGCAGUCCUUGCUGGAGGACUUUGCUGUGGUUUUUGAGGAACCAAAAGGCUUACCACCAUGUAGAGGACAUGAGCACCAGAUUGUUCUCAAGCCAGGCACUCAACCAAUAUGUCAGAGACCAUACAGGUACCCUUUUUAUCAGAAAUCAGAGAUUGAGAAUAUUGUUACAGACUUACUUAAUUCUGGUUCUAUUAGAAAUAGCCAAAGUCCAUUUGCAUCUCCUGUUUUAUUAGUAAGGAAAGCAGAUGGUAGUUGGAGAAUGUGUGUGGAUUAUAGAGCUCUCAAUAAAGAUACCGUGAAGGACAAGUUUCCUAUUCCUGUGGUAGAUGAGCUAUUGGAUGAACUAAGUGGUGCUUGGGUAUUUUCUAAGUUAGAUUUGAGAUCGGGCUAUCAUCAAAUUCGAAUGAAAGAGGAGGAUAUUGAGAAAACAGCAUUUAGAACUCAUGAAGGCCAUUAUGAAUUUUUAGUUAUGCCCUUUGGGUUGACUAAUGCUCCUUCAACCUUUCAAUCUCUCAUGAAUGAUGUAUUCAAACCAUUUCUUAGGAAGUUUGUGCUAGUGUUUUUUGAUGAUAUACUAGUGUAUAGUCCUGAUUUAAGUUCUCAUGUCUUGCAUCUCAAAACUGUUUUACAAGCUUUACUAAACAAUAAGCUUUUUGCCAAAAGAAGCAAAUGUGCUUUUGCAUGUUCUGAAGUUGAGUACUUAGGACAUAUUAUUUCUGGAGAAGGGGUGCAGACAGAUUCUAAGAAGACAGCAGCCAUGUUAGAUUGGCCUAUUCCUAAGACUGUGAAGUCCUUGCGGGGUUUCCUUGGUUUAACUGGAUAUUAUAGGAAGUUUAUUAGAAAUUAUGGUCUUAUUGCUGCCCCACUUACUGCUUUACUCAAGAAAGAUGCAUUUGAGUGGAAUGAGAAGGCUGAUUUGGCAUUCCAAAAUCUUAAAGAGGCUGUUUCUCAUCCUCCAGUCCUUGCUUUACCAGAUUUUUCUCAGCCAUUCUUGGUAGAAUGUGAUGCUUCAAGUUAUGGUAUUGGAGCUGUGUUAAUGCAAGCCAAUCGGCCAAUUGCUUUCCAUAGUCAAGCCUUGAAAGGCAGGAGCAUUCAUUUAUCCACUUAUGAGAAGGAGUUACUUGCUUUGGCUACAGCAGUAAAGAAGUGGAGACCAUACCUAUUGGGUAAACCAUUUGUGAUUAAAACAGACCAUCAAAGUUUGAAACAUUUGUUGGAGCAAAGAAUUGGAACUCCUAUGCAACAGAAAUGGAUCACUAAGUUGCUGGGAUACUCUUUUGUUAUUGCCUAUAAGAAAGGGAAGGAAAAUGUGGUAGCUGAUGCCUUAUCUAGGAAACCGGGGAGUGAGAACAUUGAUGAGCAACAGGAACUUUCAGAGGCAGCUAGCAGUUUGUUUUGUAUUGACUUCCAAGCUGAUUCCAAUAGCUGUUUGUUUCUCAUUUCCUUUCCUACUCCUACUUGGAUUGAAGAGCUUAAGGCUAGUUAUCAUGGAGAUGCAGAGGUCCAACAGAUUUUGCAGUCCAUUGCUGGCAGUUCUGAAGCUUCUGGCAGGUUCAGUUUGCAGAAUGGGUUGUUGCUUUACAAGGGUAGAAUUUUUCUGGGCAGAAACUGCAGUUUGAAGUCUAAAGUGUUGAGCUUGGUGCAUGACAGUCCUUUAGGUGGGCACUCAGGCUAUUUGAAAACGUUUCAUAGAGCCAAAAGGGAUUGGUUUUGGUGGGGAAUGAAACAGGAUUUAAAGGACUAUAUUAAAUGCUGUGAUAUAUGCCAGAGAAUCAAGCAUGAAACCAGUAGGCCUGCUGGUCUUUUACAACCCUUGGCUAUUCCUCAUACUCCUUGGACCUCUAUCAGUAUGGAUUUUGUGGAAGGAUUGCCCAAAUCUCAAAAACAGGAGGUUGUGCUUGUGGUAGUGGAUAGACUUACUAAGUUUGUUCAUUUCAUCCCUUUAUCCCAUCCCUAUACAGCUGCUAAGGUUGCUUCUUUGUUCAUGCAACACAUAUUCAAGUUACAUGGGAUGCCUACCUCUAUAGUUAGUGACAGGGACCCUAUCUUUACUUCUAAGUUUUGGGAGGAAUUAUUUCGAUUGCAAGGGGUUGAGUUGGCUAUGUCAUCUGCCUAUCACCCUCAAUCUGAUGGCCAGACAGAGGUGGUCAACAAAAGCCUUGAGCAGUUUCUCAGAGCCUUUGCAGGAGACAAACCUAAGCAAUGGGUGGAGUGGUUGCCUCUAGCUGAGUUUUGGUUUAAUACCAACUAUCAUACAGCUACUAAACUUACUCCCUUUGAAGCUCUUUAUGGGUUUCCACCACCCACACUUUUGGAUUAUAUUCCUGGACUCACUAAGGCUGCUGUUGUUGAGGAGUAUUUGCAGAAUAGACAGCAGAUUUUGAGCCUUCUCAAGACUAAUUUAGUUGCUGCUCAGGACAGAAUGAAACUUCAGGCUGACAAGCAUAGAGUGGAGAGACACUUUGAGGUGGGGGAUUGGGUUUUCCUCAGGUUGCAGCCCUUUAGACAGCAGACCAUUCGAUUAAAGAAGGUUGGGAAAUUGGCACCUAAGUUCUUUGGCCCUUUUCAAGUUCUACAGAAGAUUGGUUCUGUUGCUUAUAAGCUGGACUUACCUCCAACUUCAUGCAUUCACCCUGUUUUUCACGUCUCAUGCUUGAAGGCUAAGCUUGGUCAGCACAUCUCUCCUCUUCCUACACUACCACCAGUGGAUGACCAGGGUCACUUAUCUCCAGAACCAGUUGCAAUAUUGCAGCAGAGAUCAGUCCAGUUAAGGAGGCAGAGACAGGUUACUGAGGUUCUCGUGCAGUGGGAUGGCUCUUCACCAGAUGAUGCUACUUGGGAGCUCCUUCACAGGCUGCAGCACCAAUUCCCUCACCUUGUGGGCAAGGUUCUUUAAAAGGGGAGGGUAAUGUUAGGUACAAGACAUCAUAGCUGUGAUAAUUGUGUGCAGUAGGUACUUGUACGAAAUCAGUUAG
rnacentral:sRNA from 1 species